AAUCAACGCUGGCGGCGUGCCUAACACAUGCAAGUCGAGCGGCAGCGCGGGAGCAAUCCUGGCGGCGAGCGGCGGACGGGCGAGUAAUGCUUGGGAAUCUGCCUGUUAGUGGGGGACAACCCGGGGAAACGUCGGGCGUAAUACCGCAUACGCACUACGGUGGAAAGCCGGGGACCGCAAGGCCUGGCGCUAACAGAUGAGCCCAAGUCGGAUUAGCUAGUUGGUAGGGUAACGGCCACCAAGGCGACGAUCCGUAACUGGUCUGAGAGGACGACCAGUCACACCGGAACUGAGACACGGUCCGGACUCCUACGGGAGGCAGCA
rnacentral:rRNA from 1 species